AGAGUUUGAUCCUGGCUCAGGACGAACGCUGGCGGCGCGCCUAACACAUGCAAGUCGAACGAGAGAGAAGGAGCUUGCUUCUUCGAUCGAGUGGCGAACGGGUGAGUAACGCGUGAGGAACCUGCCUCAAAGAGGGGGACAACAGUUGGAAACGACUGCUAAUACCGCAUAAGCCCACGGGUCGGCAUCGACCUGAGGGAAAAGGAGCAAUCCGCUUUGAGAUGGCCUCGCGUCCGAUUAGCUAGUUGGUGAGGUAACGGCCCACCAAGGCAACGAUCGGUAGCCGGACUGAGAGGUUGAACGGCCACAUUGGGACUGAGACACGGCCCAGACUCCUACGGGAGGCAGCAGUGGGGAAUAUUGCACAAUGGGGGAAACCCUGAUGCAGCGACGCCGCGUGGAGGAAGAAGGUCUUCGGAUUGUAAACUCCUGUUGUUGAGGAAGAUAAUGACGGUACUCAACAAGGAAGUGACGGCUAACUACGUGCCAGCAGCCGCGGUAAAACGUAGGUCACAAGCGUUGUCCGGAAUUACUGGGUGUAAAGGGAGCGCAGGCGGGAAGACAAGUUGGAAGUGAAAUCUAUGGGCUCAACCCAUAAACUGCUUUCAAAACUGUUUUUCUUGAGUAGUGCAGAGGUAGGCGGAAUUCCCGGUGUAGCGGUGGAAUGCGUAGAUAUCGGGAGGAACACCAGUGGCGAAGGCGGCCUACUGGGCACCAACUGACGCUGAGGCUCGAAAGUGUGGGUAGCAAACAGGAUUAGAUACCCUGGUAGUCCACACCGUAAACGAUGAUUACUAGGUGUUGGAGGAUUGACCCCUUCAGUGCCGCAGUUAACACAAUAAGUAAUCCACCUGGGGAGUACGACCGCAAGGUUGAAACUCAAAGGAAUUGACGGGGGCCCGCAC
rnacentral:rRNA from 1 species